rnacentral:rRNA from 1 species
UCGAGAAUUUUUCUCAAUGGGGGAAACCCUGAAGGAGCGACGCCGCGUGGAGGAUGAAGGUCUUCGGAUUGUAAACUCCUGUCAUUGGUGAACAAGGUUCGCCGGUUAACUGCCGGACGGGCUUGAUAGUAACCGAAGAGGAAGAGACGGCUAACUCUGUGCCAGCAGCCGCGGUAAUACAGAGGUCUCAAGCGUUGUUCGGAUUUAUUGGGCGUAAAGCGUGCGUAGGCGGCGGGGUAAGUGAGGUGUGAAAUCCUGGAGCUUAACUCCAGAACUGCACUUUAUACUGCCUUGCUCGAGGGCUGGAGAGGAGACUGGAAUUUACGGUGUAGCAGUGAAAUGCGUAGAGAUCGUAAGGAAGACCAGUGGCGAAGGCGAGUCUCUGGAAAGCUGCUGACGCUGAGGCACGAAGGCCAGGGGAGCAAACGG